rnacentral:rRNA from 1 species
UGGGGAAUAUUGCACAAUGGGGGAAACCCUGAUGCAGCGACGCCGCGUGAGUGAAGAAGUAUUUCGGUAUGUAAAGCUCUAUCAGCAGGGAAGAAAGUGACGGUACCUGACUAAGAAGCCCCGGCUAACUACGUGCCAGCAGCCGCGGUAAUACGUAGGGGGCAAGCGUUAUCCGGAUUUACUGGGUGUAAAGGGAGCGUAGACGGAGGAGCAAGUCUGAAGUGAAAGCCCGCGGCUCAACUGCGGGACUGCUUUGGAAACUGUUCAUCUAGAGUGUCGGAGAGGUAAGUGGAAUUCCUAGUGUAGCGGUGAAAUGCGUAGAUAUUAGGAGGAACACCAGUGGCGAAGGCGGCUUACUGGACGAUGACUGACGUUGAGGCUCGAAAGCGUGGGGAGCAAACAGG